rnacentral:lncRNA from 1 species
ACGAAAAGUGUGAAAUUUGUUACUACGUAGUUAUUUACAAAAUUGUGAUAACGUGGUAUUAUUAUUUGCAUUUAACAAAUUAAUUAUUUUCAAAAAUUAAAAAUAAAUAGAAAAUAUGUUUACACCAACCUAACCAGGCCAUAUUAUUUGACCAAUUAUAAUGUAGAAAACUUUUGUACGAAUUCUAGAAUUGACUAAAACAAACAAAUUGACUUGUGAGAUCCGUCAAAUAUGUACCAAGUGUAAUGUCGCAACUGCAUUCUUGAACUCUUUGUAUGAUAAUUCUUUCUAGAUUAAAUGAGGACAAACAUUGCAUAUAAAGUUAGUCGUUUGUCUUUUUGAACUCAAAAUGUUUGUAGUCUGCGGACCACAUCUUCAAGUCUUUGCAGCAGAAGAGGUGGGUCAAACGUCAGUCUGCAAUAAGAAAUAUGUUUGUUUUUUAACGUCUACAUACUAUUAAAAUAAACUGAAUUUUAAGUCAACUGAUUUUACAAACUUAAAAUGGUUUUACAACACCAAAAUUCUAAUAAUAAUUGAAAUGUCCCAAAAAUACAACCCAAAAAUUUUGUUUUUAAAUCAUUAUUAAAACCAUAAUAUCAUCGUCAUAGUAUAAAAUAAAAUGAUAAAUCAUGUGUCUCGAAAUAUCAUAAUAUCUGUCAACAUAUUAAAAUCUCAUAUCAAAUAUCAGAGUAAAUUUCUUAGGCUAAAGACUGUGGUGUGCGUCAUUCGAUAAUCCCGAACCCUUCCUACCACAUGCCAUACAAAUAACAUACAACUAGGAGAUACGGGCCCCACCCACUCUCAUGGAGAUUCGGGCCCCGCCCACACUCCGCUGUCUAGGAGAUUCGGGCCCUACCCCUUGUAAGAGAUUUGGGCCCCACCCACACUCCGCUAUCUAGGAGAUUCUGGCCCCGCCCACACUCGGCUACUAACAUGCGUACAAGCAUCACAUAGACAACAAGUAUAUCUAUCAAACAAUCACAUAACUAUACUUAAAUAAUACUAUGAGAUUCGGGCCCCGCCCACACUCGACUGCUAGGAGAUUCGGGCCCCACCCACACUCAACUACCAACAUAACACACAUACGGGCCGACCUUGGUGCCUUUGACUCGUUCCUACUGAAAGGGAACUCACCUCACAAUAAUGGCUGCUAAAAACUCGAGUGAGGAAUUCGUGUAUGCUGCUCCGGCGACUCUCCGACUAUCAAUUCCAUAACAACACUUAAUCAAAAUAUGAUAAUCCUUCUUAGGGUAAAAUGGUCAUUUUACCCCUGGUCAAAGUCAACAUCGUAGUCAAAGUCAAAGUCAAAGUCAACUCCCAGUCAACCCUAACUCAACCCUAACUUGUCGAGUCAUCUCCCAACUCGACGAAUUCACGAACAACUCAGACAUGUGGUCAACUAAGUUAACUCGUCGAGUCCCUUAACAGACUCGUCGAGUUCUUCUUGUCAUAAGGAUUGGGACAACCCACUUCAACUCGUUGAGUCCUUUCUUGGACUCGCCAAGUUCCCCUUUUUGUUUGAGCCAUCUUAAUAGAUUAAGCCCUAUCUUCCGGAUCCAAAGUCCUUGGUUUGUUUGCUCACUGGAAUGGCCUUUCUAAGGGUAAAGUUUCCAACUUUACCCGUUCAUAACUCUUCUUAAAGGGUUUAGACAAAACCCUAAUUCCUUUAGGACAUGGAACUUGUCCAAAGAGCCUUAGAUUCUCAAAUCCACGCAUGCAAACCUAGAUCUAGGGUCUAGCUAUCAGAUGAUCACUAAAAGUCUCGAGCUUGCUUCCAUGUAUGGCCCUUUUUGGGCUCAAAGGGCCAUAAAUAUUUCUUUAGCACUUGCAUGAGGACUCGAAGGGCAUAAAGUUUGCACCUUUAUGUCCUCACAGCCUCUCAAGGCACUAGAUCUGGAAGAGUAACUCAUGGGUUAGUCCUUACCCACAACUUAGCAAAUCUUGGACCAAAAACCCUCGAAAGAGGUCAUAAAUAGAUCUAAGAAGAGAAUGAUUAAGUUUGAGGCUUUAUUACCAGAAAAUAUAGCUAAAGGAAUGAAACUUCUGGAUCUACAGUCUUUCUCUUGAGUCCUCCAACUUCUUCUUCCACAAGCUUCAAAAGACACAAAGAACACUCACAAGUGGCUCACACACUUAAAAAACACUCUAGGGUUUUGUAGCUGAGGGUUUGGGACAAGGAGACUGCAAAUGAGGCUAAUGGGUGGGGAUUAAGGUGUUUAAAUAGGGUGCAUAACGCUGAAAUUAGGGUUUCACCCUAACUGAGCUACUCGCCGAGUCAAGAGCUUGACUCGCCGAGUAGACAACUUAAACUCCGCACAUAGUCAGCCUUCUACUCGACGAGUUAGGGCUACCAACUCGUCAAGUCUUUCUCUCAAAAUAAAUAAAUAAUUAAAUUAAAUGCGUUCCAGGGGACCGGACGUUACAAUAAUAGUCAUAUUUCAUACACAUUUCAGCAAAAAAAUCAACAUAUAAUGACUAUUUUCAACAAUAAGGAGUACUUUCAGCAACAUUAUGGAAUUUCCAACACCAUUUUCAUAUUUUCAACACUAUUUUUCAUAUUUUCAUUAACAAAAAAAUUGAGUUUUAACAAUCUUAUGGAAUUUCCAGCAAAAUACACUAAGGAAUAUUGAUUUUCAGCAACAUUUAACAAAAAAUUUAAGCAAGAAAAGCUAUUUUUAAUAUUUUUUUCGGAUUUCUAACAUCCAACAACAAAUUUAAGCAACAAGAAGCAAUUUCAACAAAACUAAACAACAAAUUUCAGUACAUUAGAGAGUUUUCAUGCAAGAUUAAGUAUUAAUUUCAAGUUAGAACUAAAAAAAUGAAACAUGAGGUGCAAACAUCUUCAUUUUCAGUGGAAAUCGAAAAGAGCUUUUUUCGCCCCUGAUCAGAAAGGAGCGCCUAUGAUCGGGGAAGAGGGCGGCGAUGCCCUUGCUUUUGACCGGAGAUGAGGAAUGGUGGUGCUGGAGCGAGGUAAGAGGCACGGGGUUGGGAGGCUUCGAUGGGAAGUCGAAAGAAAUAAGGAGGUGUCGAUAAAACAAAAGGGCGUGUUUUUUUAGGUUAAAAUCUUUCGCAGACCUUAGAAGUGGCUAGUCCAUGUCUGUGUGGUGAAGACUUCUUUUUAGAUCUGCACACUUCGAAAAAAACAAACACACUAUGAGGUUGUAUGUCUGCACAUGGUCAGUGUGGCGUAGACAAAAGUGAUUUCACAGACCUACAGCUAAAAAAACAAACAACCCCUUAGUAUAGUUAUAAUUAGGGAUGAGUAUUAGAACUACUGGAAUUGGACUGAAACCGGAACAGGAUUUAAUAAAACGAUUUGGUUAGCGGUUCUCUAUUUAUAGGAAAGUCGGUUCAGUUCCACAAAAAACCGGUUAAAAAACUGGAAUUGGUUUUUAUAAUUCCAUAACUCGCUCAUAUUAAGUCGGAAUAACUUGAUUUUUUUCCAUAAUGUAAUUUAGUGUUUUUACUUCAUUUUAGACUAUAAAAAAAUAUAUAUUGAUUAAAUAUUAAAUCAUAUACAAGCC